CCCUAUUAUUUAAGAGCUAAAUAUUGUAAGUAUAUAACAAUUACGAAAGCAAAAAAUUAUGGCGGUAUUUUAAGCUUUUCAGAGGAAUUUGCUCUUUAAUGGAUAAAACACCUAAAUCUUACUUAAAUUUGUUAAAUCAACUUGUAUACCACUAUUAAAACAAUUAUUAACUCUAAUUGUUAAUAUUUAAAACAUAAAUUAAUUUAAAUUAAGUCAAGGUGCAGUAAAAAUUUAAGAAUGAAGUGAAUUACAUUACUUUUAAGGGAAAUAAAAUUAAAUAAAGUUUAGGAUUUGAAAGUAAAAUUAAAAUAGAAUGUUAAUUUGAAUUAAGCUCUAAAAUAUGUACAUAUC
rnacentral:rRNA from 1 species